rnacentral:tRNA from 1 species
GCAAUGGUGGCUCACUGGUAGAAUUCUCGCCUUCCACGCAGGAGACCCAAGUUCAAUUCCUGGCCAAUGUG